AUUGAACGCUGGCGGCAUGCCUUACACAUGCAAGUCGAACGGCAGCACGGGAGCAAUCCUGGUGGCGAGUGGCGAACGGGUGAGUAAUAUAUCGGAACGUGCCCAGUCGUGGGGGAUAACGUAGCGAAAGCUACGCUAAUACCGCAUACGAUCUAUGGAUGAAAGCGGGGGAUCGCAAGACCUCGCGCGAUUGGAGCGGCCGAUAUCAGAUUAGGUAGUUGGUGGGGUAAAGGCUCACCAAGCCGACGAUCUGUAGCUGGUCUGAGAGGACGACCGGCCACACUGGGACUGAGACACGGGCCAGAAUCCUACGUGAGGCAGCAGUGGGGAAGUUUGGACAAUGGGCGCAAGCGUGAUACAGCAAUGCCGCGUGCAGGAUGAAGGCCUUCGGGUUGUAAACUGCUUUUGUACGGAGCGAAAAGGCUUCCACUAAUACUGGGGGCUCAUGACGGUACCGUAAGAAUAAGCACCGGCUAACUACGUGCCAGCAGCCGCGGUAACAC
rnacentral:rRNA from 1 species